rnacentral:rRNA from 1 species
UACGUAGGGACCGAGCGUUGUCCGGAAUCAUUGGGCGUAAAGAGCGUGUAGGCGGCCAACUAAGUCCUGCGUGAAAUCUCGGGGCUCAACCCCGAGCGGUCGUGGGAAACUGGUUGGCUAGAGUGCGGGAGAGGAGAGUGGAAUUCCUGGUGUAGCGGUGAAAUGCGCAGAUAUCAGGAGGAAUACCGGAGGCGAAGGCGGCUUACUAGCCAGACACUGACACUCAGACCCGAAAGUGUGGGGAUCAAACAGG